rnacentral:rRNA from 1 species
UACGUAGGUGGCAAGCGUUGUCCGGAUUUACUGGGCGUAAAGUGUGCGCAGGUGGCCGCGCAAGUCGAGUGUGAAAUCCCCCGAGCUUAACUUGGGAAUUGCGCUCGAAACUACGUGGCUCGAGUGUGGCAGAGGAAGGUGGAAUUCCACGUGUAGCGGUGAAAUGCGUAGAUAUCAGGAGGAAUACCAGUGGCGAAGGCGGCUUUCUGGGCCUACCCUGACGCUGAGGAGCGAAAGCGUGGGGAGCAAACCGG